rnacentral:rRNA from 1 species
CCUACGGGUGGCAGCAGUGGGGGAUAUUGCACAAUGGGGGAAACCCUGAUGCAGCGACGCCGCGUGUGGGAAGACGGUCCUCUGGAUUGUAAACCACUGUCCCCAGGGACGAAGAUGACGGUACCUGGGGAGGAAGCUCCGGCUAACUACGUGCCCGCAGCCGCGGUAAUACGUAGGGAGCGAGCGUUGUCCGGAAUUACUGGGUGUAAAGGGAGCGUAGGCGGGGAUGCAAGGUGGGUGUCAAAACUACCGGCUCAACUGGUAGUCGCACUCAAAACUGCAGCUCUUGAGUGAAGUAGAGGCAGGCGGAAUUCCUAGUGGAGCUGUGGAAUGCGUAGAUAUUAGGAGGAACACCAGGGGCGAAGGCGGCCUGCUGGGCUUUUACUGACGCUGAGGCUCGAAAGUGUGGGGAGCAAACAGGAUUAGAUACCCCGGUAGUC